GACGAACGCUGGCGGCGUGCUUAACACAUGCGAGUCGAACGGAAAGGCCCUGCUUUUGUGGGGUGCUCGAGUGGCGAACGGGUGAGUAACACGUGAGUAACCUGCCCUUGACUUUGGGAUAACUUCAGGAAACUGGGGCUAAUACCGGAUAGGAGCUCCUGCUGCAUGGUGGGGGUUGGAAAGUUUCGGCGGUUGGGGAUGGACUCGCGGCUUAUCAGCUUGUUGGUGGGAUAGUGGCUUACCAAGGCUUUGACGGGUAGCCGGCCUGAGAGGGUGACCGGCCACAUUGGGACUGAGAUACGGCCCAGACUCCUACGGGAGGCAGCAGUGGGGAAUAUUGCACAAUGGGCGGAAGCCUGAUGCAGCAACGCCGCGUGCGGGAUGACGGCCUUCGGGUUGUAAACCGCUUUCGCCUGUGACGAAGCGUGAGUGACGGUAAUGGGUAAAGAAGCACCGGCUAACUACGUG
rnacentral:rRNA from 1 species